ACGAACGCUGGCGGCGUGCUUAACACAUGCAAGUCGAACGGAAAGGCCCCUUUGGGGGUACUCGAGUGGCGAACGGGUGAGUAACACGUGAGUAACCUGCCCUUGACUUCGGGAUAACUUCAGGAAACUGGGGCUAAUACCGGAUAGGAAUCCUUGCUGCAUGGUGGGGGUUGGAAAGCUUCGGCGGUUUUGGAUGGACUCGCGGCUUAUCAGCUUGUUGGUGGGGUAGUGGCUUACCAAGGCUUUGACGGGUAGCCGGCCUGAGAGGGCGACCGGCCACAUUGGGACUGAGAUACGGCCCAGACUCCUACGGGAGGCAGCAGUGGGGAAUAUUGCACAAUGGGCGGAAGCCUGAUGCAGCAACGCCGCGUGCGGGAUGACGGCCUUCGGGUUGGAAACCGCUUUCAGCAGGGGCGAAGCUUGUGGUGACGGUACCUGCAGAAGAAGCACCGGCUAACUACGUG
rnacentral:rRNA from 1 species